CCCCCCGUGACCCAGUAGGAUAAGCGGUUUGAAAAAUGGAUGGAUGGAUGGAUAGUUUAAUAUGCUGUUACAGUUAGAUUUCACUUUUUCUAAUCAUGUAGAUGGCAGAAUUUUAUGUGGUGGAAUUUCCUGAGCGGGAAGAAGUAGCAGUGGUGAGCAAACACUGGAUGAAGGGGGAGAAGAAGUGUCCGUGGCCAACAUUUGUUUCGCCAGAUAAAAUAAGAAAAGCUGCAACCAAUCAGGUAAAACCUGACAUUUCCUGGCAGUGUUAUGCAGGUGAAAUUGCCUAUUCAACAGAAAGUUGUGAGAAAGCCAAGAAAAAUGCCAAGGCGAUAGAAGAGGACUCUUCGUUUUCCAGUGAUCCAGAAUGACAGCUGCAAAGGGGAGAUCGUUGUAGAAGGGUGGCCCUUAUAAAUGGAAAAAAGGCUAAAGAAUAACCAAGGACGUCGGACUGAAUCGCAGACAGCAGACGAAGAAGGCUUCACAGAGACAUUCUGUGAUUUAUUUGACAUUGCUCACCAGAUGCAUUGUCAUUAAUUACUGCUGAAGAAGACAAAGCCUUUCUGCUUGCACAACGUGAACAAGGCCCAAAGGGUGUCAUGGCAGGCGUGGAUGCAUCGCCGGUAAAGAAAAAAG